rnacentral:rRNA from 1 species
AGCAGCCGCGGUAAUUCCAGCUCCAAUAGCGUAUAUUAAAGUUGUCGCAGUUAAAAAGCUCGUAGUUGAAUUUCGGGAUCAAAGAAUCGGUCAUGCCUUGGUAUGUACUGGUCUUAUUGGUUCUCACCUUCUAAAGAACCAUGAUGUCAUUCAUUUGAUGUUAUGGGGAAUUAGGACUGUUACCUUGAAAAAAUUAGAGUGUUUAAAGCAAGCUUACGCUUGAAUACAUUAGCAUGGAAUAAUGAAAUAGGACAUCAGAUUCUAUUUUGUUGGUUUCUAGGAUCGAUGUAAUGAUUAAUAGGGAUAGUUGGGGGCAUUAGUAUUCAAUUGUCAGAGGUGAAAUUCUUGGAUUUAUUGAAGACUAACUACUGCGAAAGCAUUUGCCAAGGAUGUUUUCAUUAAUCAAGAACGAAAGUUAGGGGAUCGAAGACGAUCAGAUACCGUCGUAGUCUUAACCAUAAACUAUGCCGACUAGGGAUCGGAUGAUGUUAAUUUUUUAAUGACUCA